rnacentral:lncRNA from 1 species
AGGCUUACACCACAGCCACAGCAACAGGAUCCAAACAUAUGUAUGACCUAUGCGGCAGCUUGUGGCAACCCUGUUUUUUAACCCACUUAGCGAGGCCAGGAAUUGAACCUGCAUCCUCAAGGAGACUACAUCAUGUUCUUAACCCUCCGAGCCACAACAGGAACUCCAAUAACAGCUGAUCACAGUGGAUCAGGGAUGUUCAGCCUUGUGAGGGAGACUCUGAAGGCUGCAAGGCAUUGCUGUCAUGAGUAGCUAUGUGCCCUUAUAUAAGGGUUGUAGACAUGGGAGUGGCACGCGGAUACAGAUCCUGGCGGUAGAAAGAAUCUAUUGGAACAAACCUGCUCCAGCGUCCAUUCUCUUGAACUUGCUCUAUACCUACAAGCUCUGGCACAGAUGAAUUUAUUUCUUGAGUUUCUCCCCUCUAAGGAAUCCUGUGAAAGUAGCAGAGGCCCUAUCUUAGGAUAGCUUCUCUCUUAGUCUUACAUUCUGCUUUCUCUGCAAUGCAGUUGAUGGCUGGGGUUUCAUAAAUCAACUGGGAGUUCAGUGGUAUGAAAAUAAAUGCCAUACCAAAUGCUUUCAGAACAGAAUUUAGUUACAUCCCUUGUGGCGCCAUCAAAAAUCCUGUCACCAACAGAAAUUCUAGGUCUGUUUGUUUAAGGAUAUAAUGGGCCCGUCUGUGUAUCAUACAUGUAAAUAGGCAGCAAGGUACCCUAAUACAGACUGCUGUAUCAUUGGCACUCUAUCUAAUGCACCAUUAUAUCCGGCCCUAUGACUGUGUGAGAUUAGAAUCUUCUGUAAAAACAGUGAAAAUUUCAUACAAUUUAACCCUCAUAUAACGUAGUAAUUUAUAAAAUGGGAAUUACACUUGUUUGCACUGGUAAACAUAAUAAGGGGAGUCCUCCAUGUUACAUAAAAAUGAAAACUAACAGAAUUUAAAAGUAUCUAAAUUGGGAGGGAUUUUUAUAAUCAUCUAGGCAAUAACAAUUUCCAUUUUAAUUUUUUUUCCAGCCAUGAUUAAAUCCUAUCAAGAACAGUGACAUCACAAGUUAGUAAGAAAGCUUACAGAGUUUCCAUUAUUAUUUCAAUAAUAUUUGAAUCAUUACCUCUCUCGUUGGAUGUGAAUCCAACAGGACUUUCCCCUACUACAUAGGAGUUUUGUACCCAGAAAUUCUCAAUAUAGCCAAAUCUGGAACAAAAACUCUAAAUAUAAAGUCUUUUCCUUGUUCUUAAUAAUACUCCUUUAGAUUUCAAUAUUUUAGAUCAGACUAAAGAAUUGCCUUUUAUUUCUUACCAGGUAAGACACAUGCCUAAGAAAAAACAACCUGUCAAAAUUGGAUGAACCAUGUUACUCAAGCAAAGGACCAGGCCAUUGCCCAGGGAUGGUGAUUAUAGGUUGCAGUAUAGAAAAUUAAUAUUUGCGAAGCAAUGGAAAAUUUGCUAUGCUAAGCUGUCCUAACAGUAGAUUUUAUGAUUAGAAGAUGUUGUAGUUUAAUGGACAAAUUUUGGACUUGGUGUUAAAAAGUCAUAAAUUAAUUUUCUAAUUUGGCAUCUAUCUUGCUGGUGAUCAUGUACAGGGCACUUAAUUGCUUUGCUCCAUCACCUACGGAAAUAUGACCACUCUGAUUUUUAAAGGACCAUUUAAAUUACAUAUACAACAAAUACAUUUAUGUGGAGAUACAAAGGGAAAAUUAUAAAACAAAAUAUCCACCUGCACAUCAUCUAGGUCACGUCUUACUUUUAGGAAUAUUUAAUCUUCCUAUGCCUGCUCUUUUUUUUUCUCUUAAAAUGGAUGCUGUAAUAGUAUUUACAUCUUUGACUUGCUAGGAGGAAUAACUAGACAAUGCUUAUAAAUCACUUAGCACAGUAUUUGACACCUAAUAAUGCUUAGCGAAUAUUACUUUUAUGAUUAUUAUUUAUUACUUAAAAUGCCCAGCAAAAGAUGAAACUUUUUCUAAUGUUGAGGAUAAUUUCCAAGAUAAAACAAUGGCCUUUGACUACAAUUUGAUUGUGAAGUAAAAAAAGAAAAAAAAAUGAGCCAUGGAAUAAUCCUUGGAAAAAGAGUAACAAGAAGCAAAUGGCUUAUUUGGCUAUAUAAAAUUAUAUUUACAUAAAAAUUCUUUACAAUUGCUUUUCCACUACACAGCUUUUCUCCGAAGUCUCAUAUUUUUCUCUGAGACCUCUUAACAGAGCUGCCAAAUAGUAACAGUAGUUUGAAAUGCUGUUUUGAAAACUAUAAAUAAUGUAGGCUCCAGGGGGGAAAUAAAGGGUACAAUUUACCUGUCUGUUCUGAUUAGAGGUGCUAAUUGAACGUGAAGGUAUCUGUGCAUAAAAAUGUUACAUUCCAAUGAGAGGGGAAAAAAUACAUUUUUAAAAACUUACUCUAGAUUCAUAAAGGCAAAUGAAAUUUUAAAAGCCUUCUAGUACAAAGCUUUUAUUUAAGGUUUGAGUACUUUCUGGAACAUUCCUGCUGCUAUAGCUGGUCAUUCAGAUUAUAUUUGCAUGCCAAUGACUGGAAAUGUUUCACUUCCUAAAUCAUGCCAUGCUAUAGCUGAGGAAUAGGGGAGCCAUGGAAGAAGCACAGCUCUUUGGACUGGCAUACUCUGGGUUUGUAUUCUGGCUCUAAGCAAUGCGUAUUGAGUGUCCUUCAUAAAAACAGUCGUGCUAAGACUCAUUAUGUGUAAGAUAGUGACCAUCUCUGCCUCUGACAGUUUUCUGUGUUAACUUGACUAAACCAGUUAUUAUUUAUUUCUCUGUUUGUUUGUUUUUGUUUAUUAUGGCCGUACUCACUGCAUAUGGAAGUUCCCAGGCCAGGGAUGGAAUCUGAGCUGUAGCUGCGACCUACGCCACUGCUACAAAUUUGGGUAAACUAAUUUUUAAGUGGAUGAUGCCUAGUUAAUGAUGUUUUUGGCUAAAGAUAAAUAAAAUUUUAAACUACGAAAAGAUCAAUCUGUGAAGUUAUCUGAGUAAGGAAUGAAAAAUCUUAUAAGACGGAUGUUCAAAGUCAUGUAGGGGAACUUGGUGACAUAUAACCAUCAGAGUUUGCAUGACAUAUCGAAGAAGAUAAAACACCACCUUCUAGGUUUGAAGGUUACUGCAUUCAUUGAUGUAGGUGGUCUCAUAUGAAAGUCAAUGUGCAGGAAACCUGGGGUCCUAGAUUAUAUCUCUGGCCUUAUCAAUGAGUCCAUUUUGAAUAUAAGAAGAUUCUCUUAGUUGCCUAAAAUAAAACCAAAGUGAUAUUUUUUCCCAGGAUGUUUUUCCCAUUUGCAAAAUAACAUAUCAAAUUGACGCAAGAUAUGAAGGAAACUCAUAUUAUUAUAUUUUUAAUCAACUGCCCUUACAAACAGAAUAUAAAGUACAUGAGGUCAGAACUAUAUAACUACUGAACAUACUUUUUUUCCAGCUGUCAAAGUAAAACUUUGGGCAUUUGACCUCCAUUUUUGGAAAAAGCAAUUAGCACUGAUUACUGUAUUCUUCAAUUAUGCAUAAUCUACAUGGAAGAAUGCUCUUUGAAUCCAGAGUUUGGUGUACAAGUCCUGGUUUCAUCUACUCACUUAACGCAUCCAGAGAGUAAUUCAGUGGCUGUACAAAAAGUACCUGCACUUCUCAGAAGGUACCCUGCUCUUCCCAGCCCCUCUAUUUCUGCACAGCUAAAGCCUCUCUUUCCCUUCUGUCGUGGGAAACUCCCACACAUCCUUCAGUUCCAGUUCAGAGUCCACUUUUUCCUCCAUUCUAGAUUUUUUUAAAAGCAGAGUUAAGCAUGUCCAUCUCUUGAGAGUGCCAAGAUCAUACCUCUGUUUUCCUCCUACAACAAUUAUUUACAGGUUUAUUCUUUACUUAACUGUGGCCCCAGAGGACUGGGACAUGGAGCAAUUCAUCUCUCAGUCCAUUGUGUCCAGCAUAAAGAAGGUCUUUAUUAAAGACUGUUCCAGCAAGUUCAUGGAUAAACUUCCAUCACUUUUUUUUUAAAUAGGAUUUUAAGCUCCCUGAGUAUGUAAAUCUCAUACAGAUUCAAUAUAUCUUACCUUUACACAAACCAGAUCUGUUCUAAUGUUCAUUUAGAAUGUCACAUCUGUCACGAAUGCCCGUUUAUACUUUUGAGGAUGUUUUCUGUUUUCAUUUGAACUUCUCCUCCAAAUUACUUUGGGGGGGAAUAUUAUAAACAAAGUAGCUGCUCUCAAGCUCAAUAUUACAACCUGAAGUUUGACAGCAAAGCAAGUUUUCUGAACUUAAAAACUGUCUUUUACACUUUUUUUUUUCAAAAUUUCUUUCCAUUAUGGUUUAAUCAUAGGACACUGAAUAUCAUUCUCUGUGCUAUACAUAGGCUCUGGCUGAUUAUCCCCCUCAUGUAUAAUCUCCUAACCCCAACUUCCCAUUCCAUCCUUUCCCCAAACCCCUCCCCCUUGGCAACCUCAAGUUUGCUCUCUGUCAGAACUGCAUUUUUCAUCAAUAAUUUCUCCCACCAAACAGCCAUCUGAUAUUCCAAGAGUAUUCCCAGAUGUACAACCAUCCACUGCACUGGAGUAUUUUUUUCUCCAUUCAUGAGCACAUUCACCAAUCUAUCUAUCUACGUCGCCAACAACUGCUGUGUAAACACUCAGAGCCUACCAGGCUCUGAGCUCAGGGCUGAAGAUCCAGUGAUGAAAAAGGCAGAGGACUUGCCCCCACACAGCACACAACACACAGAAGAGAGGCAGGCUGGUGACAAGCACUGCAGCAAAAGAUGACACAACGAGUUAAGCGCCACCAGGGAAACGUGCCAGGUACAAUGGGCGAAAUGCAGGAAAGCAGGGACUCAGAGAUGUAAAGAAAGAAAGAUGUGAAAGUACUUCGUAUGCCAUACCUCUCAGGGUCUGAAGAAACCCUGGUGUCACCCCAGAUCAUCCUUUGCACUGACUUCAGCCAAGGAACAGGAACAGCCUCCUAACCUCUCCACAGUAUGUCU